UACUUGAGACAAACAUGGAUUUAAAACCUCUCUUUGUCUUGUAGCCUCUCCAGGAACUUAUUCUGCUUAGAACUAAAAUCAAGUAUAUCUCAAGAGAUUCUACUGUCCGAUCUGAAAUGCCUCUGUCGUGUGUUGUCCGCAAAAUCCUCUUUUAAAUGCAGUUGAAAUGAGAGAUGAGGAAAAUGUUACUGAAUGGGAGAUAGAUGUGAGGAUACACAUUGUGAAUGAAGAUGGGGCAGUAACUUCUACAACACAGUCUUGUGGCUAUAACCUGUACUGAAUCCUGGCUCCAGGUCAAGUUUAGACAAAGGCCCCUGAUAAAUGACCUGCAACCUUUGCAACAUGAACUCUUUCUAGGAAGUGGCUGUCCUGUAAACCUCGUCGAGCCGGAUUUCUUUGUGUUCCUUUAUCUUCUAACUUUUUGUGGCAUCGUAGUGACUGAACAGCCAGUAGGUAUUCUCAUUGAAAGUGCAAUCGUAUAUAACUCGGCGAAUUUUGACUUCGAUGUACAUAUCCCAGUAUCAU
rnacentral:lncRNA from 1 species